UACGGAGGGGGCUAGCGUUGUUCGGAAUUACUGGGCGUAAAGCGCACGUAGGCGGCUUUGUAAGUUAGAGGUGAAAGCCCGGGGCUCAACUCCGGAAUUGCCUUUAAGACUGCAUCGCUAGAACGUCGGAGAGGUAAGUGGAAUUCCGAGUGUAGAGGUGAAAUCCGUAGAUAUUCGGAAGAACACCAGUGGCGAAGGCGACUUACUGGACGACCGUUGACGCUGAGGUGCGAAAGCGUGGGGAGCAAACAGG
rnacentral:rRNA from 1 species